rnacentral:rRNA from 1 species
CUUUCUUUGCUGGCGACCGGCGCACGGGUGAGUAACACGUAUCCAACCUGCCCUUACUCGGGGAUAGCCUUUCGAAAGAAAGAUUAAUACCCGAUAGCAUAAUGAUUCCGCAUGGUUUCAUUAUUAAAGGAUUCCGGUAAAGGAUGGGGAUGCGUUCCAUUAGGUUGUUGGUGAGGUAACGGCUCACCAAGCCUUCGAUGGAUAGGGGUUCUGAGAGGAAGGUCCCCCACAUUGGAACUGAGACACGGUCCAA